UUAUGGCCAACAUACUAUCCCUCCAUUCACUGUUGGACAGCGACAAGCUCAUCGAACCCAACUUCAAUAGCUGAUAUCAAAAGUUGAAGAUCGUGUUGGAGCAUGAGAGGAUUUUAUAUGUCCUUAUGGAUUAGGCACCUGAAGAACCUACAGUCAAUGCUCCUCGUGCUGCAAGAGACACUUACAUGAAGUGGCUCAAUGAUUGCACGACUAUGUGUUGCA
rnacentral:lncRNA from 1 species